rnacentral:rRNA from 1 species
UGCGUAGGUGGUCCUGUAUGUCGGGUGUGAAAGCCCACGGCUCAACCGUGGAAUUGCAUUCGAAACUGCAGGACUGGAGUGCAGGAGAGGAGAGCGGAAUUCUUGGUGUAGCGGUGAAAUGCGUUGAUAUCAAGAAGAACACCGGUGGCGAAGGCGGCUCUCUGGAAUGUUACUGACACUGAGGCACGAAAGCUAGGGGAGCGAACAGGAUUAGAUACCCUGGUAGUCC